UUAAUCUCUACUUUAUCUAGUAAAGUGAUAAAUUGGAUCUUGGUGCUAGUGUUCUUCAACCUCAAACUUCCAGAAUAGCAGCCUUCAUACUAAAGGAAUAACAACUUUAGCCUUAGGGUGCUGGACUUCCUCUAUCAUUUGCACCUUUCCAUCUAUUUGUUUUCUCUCCCAGUGCCCUUAGUCUUUGCCAUCAUCUCUUUUAUAUCUUUAUCAUAUACUAAGUAUAGUACUAGUAUUAAAAAAAGUGAUGCCUGUAUUGAACUUUAUACCAC
rnacentral:lncRNA from 1 species